rnacentral:rRNA from 1 species
GACGAACGCUGGCGGCGUGCUUAACACAUGCAAGUCGAGCGGUAAGGCCCUUUCGGGGUACGACGAGCGGCGAACGGGUAGGAGUAACACGUGGGUGGACCUCGCCCUCCAGCUCUGGGGAGUAAAGACCUCGGGGAAACCGGGGUACCGUAAUAACCGGGAUAUGACUCCAUGACGCAUGUUGUGGGGUGGAAAGCCUUGUGCGGCUGAGGAUGGGCCCGGCGGCCUAUCAGCUUGUU